GGUGGCUCAGUGGUAGAGUGCUUGCCUUUUAUGCAUGAGGCCCGGGGUUUGAUUCCUUAGCACCA
rnacentral:tRNA from 1 species